GAUGAACGCUGGCGGCGUGCCUAAUACAUGCAAGUCGAGCGAACAGAUGAGUAGCUUGCUCCUCUGACGUUAGCGGCGGACGGGUGUGUAACACGUGGAUAACCUACCUAUAAGACUGGGAUACCUUCGGGAAACCGGAGCUAAUACCUGAUAAUAUCUUAAACCGCAUGGUUCAAUAGUGACCGACGGUUUUGCUGUCACUUAUAGAUUGAUCCGCUCCGGAUUAGCUAGUUGGUCAGGUAACGGCUUACCAAGGCAACGAUGAGUAGCCGGACUGAGAGGAGGAACCGGCAAAACGGGAAUGAAAAAAGGGCCCAAACCCUAAGGGAGGCAGGAGGAGGGAAAUUUGGCCAAUGGGAGAAAGCCUGAACGAGCAAAGCCGGGUGGGGGAAGAAGGGUUUCGGGUUGGAAAACCCUUGUAUUAGGGAAGAACAAAUGUGUAAGUAACUAUGCACGGCUUGACGGUACCUAAUCAGAAAGCCACGGCUAACUACGUG
rnacentral:rRNA from 1 species